rnacentral:lncRNA from 1 species
UUGUGUCUUAACAAUUCAUUCUGCCUUCUUCCUUGAAAGUUCUCUCUCCUUUCAUAAAAAGAAGACGUGAGCUGUGGAGGACUGGCUUGGCUGCCUGCAGAAGAUUGUUCUCACUUGCUGUUUAGGUUGCUGAGACUUCCAGGCCUGGGUAGACAGCAGGAUUUGCUCUGUUGUCAUCGUCCUUGCCUUGCAGGCUGAAGUGAGCAAUGACUACACUUCAUGGUGGCCGAUCUUAUAAAUGUGCAGAUAACGUCUGGCCAGGCCCAAAGUGCCCUUUUCCCACCAUCCCCUCAGCUGUGGUUGAUGAGUUCCCCUUUUCUCCCUUGGCCACGUCAUGGGGAAAGUUCCAUAGGAAAAGCAAAGGUAAGCUCCAGAAAGACUGAAGGCUGUGCAUCUCCCCUUGAGCCACUUCCAUCCUGGCCUGGUCUCUUACCUGUCUCUGUUAAAAAAAAAAAAAAAAAAAAAAAAAAAAAAAAAUCAGAUAUGCAGUUAUUGAGCACCUGCUGUAUGUCCAGCAUGGUGAGGGAUGCAGAGAAGUAUAAGGCGGUCUCUGGAGGCCAAGUAGAGCAUCAGUUACAUCACCUGAAAACUUGAAGUGACCCUGAGCCAUGGGUGCCCCACUGAACACAGAGAAGCCCAGAGAGUGCUAUGAGAAUUUUCUGGAGAAGGGUAAUCAGUGAAGGCUGGUGAGUCCCUAGACAGCUUCACAAAGAGCUGGGACCCCAGCUGGAUCUUAAAGGAUGGUUUCGUGGAGAAGGAAUGUGAGUCAAAAGUACAGAGGGCAACAAGCCCAGCCAGCCUGCUGAUUUGUAUGGGGAGAAGAAAGCAAUUCCGUGUGCAGGGUGGGAUGGGUCUUGUGGCUGUACUGAAAAGUCCGGGCAGAGGACUCGAUACUUCAGUGACCUCUCCCAGCCUCUGCCAGAGGGCAAGGAGCAGUAGGGAGUACUCAUUCAUUGCAUCUCUAUAAAAAGACCCAGAGAGAUAGAAUAAGGAUCAAAAGCACACACUAGAGAGAGGCUGCCUGCAUUCAGAUCCCUGUCCCACCAUGUAGCAGUGAAACCUCGGGUGAGUAGCCCAGCCUACCUGGCUUCAGUCUCUUGCUCUGCAAGGUGGACAUCACCAUAGCCUCGAAGGUUGUUAGGAAAGAUCAGUGAGAUAUGCAGUCAGCGCUCAGCCAAAAAGGUGCCAGACACACACUACUUGUUCAUUACAUGUCAGUCACAGGAUAGAGGCAAAUGGUGACUAAAACGAUAGAAGGUUACCCAGGGCUACGAAGAAGCGGUCACUACUCAGAGGGAGCUCUGAGGGCUCCUCUGCAUAUAGACACAUCAUGCCCUUGCAAACCACGACUUAGAAGGUUUAAUGACCCUUUUCUCUUCACCAUUCAUUAGCAGACUUAUUCCAAGCCACGUGGCAUGCAGUAUGUUUAGUCUCCCCACCCCUCUCCCUCUUGUCUGCAGCAUGAGGCUCCAGCUUUAGCUGUACCCUACAGAAAAAAGUCCCAGAAGUUCCUUGAGCUGAGGCAGACAGGAGGUGGUGACUGCUGUACAUUUGCCUUUUGAGCUCCACAGGGUAUGCAAAUGAGAAGGUGCUAGAAGCCGUCCCCGCUCAAAGGAUCUUGAUAAGUUGCCCACUCCUUCAUUUGAGAAGAGUGCGUACGAGAGUGAAAAUGGCCCUCGUUUCCCCCAGAGAGUUUUCACAAAUGUUUUGGCCUGGCAUUCUCCAAAUACAUCAACUGGAACCCUGAGGUGAUAUGCGGGUGUUAAUUGGUGCAAUCUUUCACUGUCCUCUGUCUACCUGAAAUGUAAUUCUUUUACCGCUGUGGACUUGCUCCAUGGAGAAAUGCUCCUUUGAUUCUGUCAUCAAGAACCUCAAAGAAACCAUGUGGCCACUGUGUUACAGGUAGAAAGACCCUGCUUAAGUGAAGGUAUUUUUGUUUUAUUAUAAAAUCAUGCCCAAGAUUAAUACACCUUUUUGCCAGGAUCCCAAAUACGCAGCCCUUUGUCAUGAAGAACUGGCAGCCACAUUCCUUCAGGGUGAAAUUUGUAUUCACAGCCAUACAUGUAUAGUUUUUGAAGCGCUGGCCCCCCGUACAGGAGAAGAAAGAAGGGACUCUUGGCUCAUCCAUGACCUUGUAGGUCAAUACCAUAUUAAAGUUCCUGUCAGGCACGCAGUAGUCACCCAGCAAGUAUCAGCUGAUUAAAGGGAGAAGAGUCGAGCACCUGGCUGACUGAGCCUUACGUUACACUUAAUCUGAAUGGGCCACCGAUGCUGUAUUUCAAACCUUGAUGUUUGCAUGUCCAUCCUUACUACAGGUGGCUUUCAGGUUGGCCGUGAAGGGACAAGCCAGCCAGUCCUGAGUUUAGAGCGAUUGGCCCUAUCAUUCUCAAGGACCCACUGGAAUAGUAUCAGGGAAUAUCAUUUUGGGUAAUGGCCAAGCAAAGCCUUAGUAUUGCUAUCAUAUAUUGUGAGGGGCCUUCAGAAUGCAAUAUGGCCUCUUUUAAAAAUGCAAACUAUAGUCCUUGCCUUAUCUGUGUUUAUCUCAAAAUGUUGAAAUGUGCCUCUAAUAGGAACUGCAGGAUUCAGUCCCCCCCCACCACCCCCCACCCAACACUCACAUCAUUACACAUGAGCAUCCCUGAACUGAGACCUGAAAGCAAGAAUCUUCUCUGUUUUCAGGUGUUCCAAACCUCAGCUUCCAGCCUCUUCAGUACACAGGAAACUUUGUUUCAUUUUUAUGUUUUUAUUUAUUUUUUUCAUUCCCAAAAAACAUAAAAUGUCUACUGCCCCUGGUGGUCAGUGCUGGGAAAUACAACUCGAGCCUUGCCUAUUGAAAUGCAGAAUGUAUUCCAACAAGGAACCUGACAUUGUCUACUGCUUUUUCUCUCACACACAUGCACACCUACCUGCGCCUCCCAUUUUACUCCCUCCUAAUCCUUCGAAGUGUUGAUCUGGGGAAGGUGAGAACCACUACUGAGGGGCAAAUCAACCGGUUCUCUGGGCCCGGGACUUCAGCUGCCCUCCAGACGUGCACAGGCUCACAGUCAUAUUUCAGACGUGACCGCCUCAAAUCUUCCUUAAGUGCUAUCUUCUCAGGUUAAUUAAUCACCAGGCUUAAACUUGCUGUUACCAGCAGGAAGUCCAUCCUGAAGUCAGCAAUGUUACGAUUGCAUCUUCUAAUACUGUUUAUCCUGCAUUAGUGUUUACUUAGGGGGAAAAUUGAUCCGUAAUUGAUAUUUCAGUCUUCCAGAGCUGGUGUUGGAAGAGCCUAAUGCAGGCCUUUAAUAGCAAGCAAAUAUUUAAAUCCCUUAAUGGUUGCUGAAUAUUGAAAUGUGUGACUUUAUUACUCUUUUUGGUUUGUUUUCUCUGUAGUUGUGUAUUUCAUCGUUUAAACCUGCAAUGGAUGCUGGCAAGUGCAAGUCUAGCUAAUCCACAAAAGCUGUUUGCCCAGACACAGCAGACCUGAUUAAAAAGUAUUGCUAUGGAAGGGAAUCUUCUGCACUAAUCAGUCUCUGUUAGCUAGUGACGAAAUUACUAUCCAUCUCUCUCUCUUUCUCUUUCUCUCCCUCUCUCUAGGCCUGUUUUCUCUAACCUCCUCUCCCAGAAUAAAGUGAUGAGGGCAGCUAUAGUGUUGCAAUUAGGAACAUGAAUCUUUUAUCGUUUGGACAAGGAAGGGAAAAUGCCAUUACUGUCAACUGAAAUGUCCUACUUGGGUUUUUUGCUCCUACUUCCCUGCCAAAGCCCAUUGCUGCUGCUGAAAUUGUAUAACAUUCACAGCUGUUCUUGAUGGCUUGAUUCUUAACACAGCCAGAAAUGUAGCCCGGGAGAUGCUUAAGACAGUUUAUGGAAAAUAAUAGAUUUCCUUGCAGAGACACCAAUGCAUCGAGAAGGGCCUUGAGUCACGUUAGCCCCAGCCAAGAUCACCAAUUUUCUCUCUAUCUGGCUUCAGUUACAAAGGCUAUGCCUU